ACGUGGCUAAGUGGGUAAGACUCUGGCUCAUUGGCCUGGAGGUCGGGUGUUCGAUCCCUGCAUUGGCCGAGAAAGUUCAUCCAGAUUUUCCAGCGUGGUUCCCCCUUGUCAGUGAUGCAGGACGGAGGGCCUGACAAGGACAGCUGUCUAGUCAUGUGGAUGGGACGAAAAACUGAGGUCUUGUGUAUACAUUGGAAUGCACGUAAAAGAUCCCUUGGCAGUUGGAAGUAGGCGAUAGUGCCGCUGCCCGGGCAAAAUUUCCCUCAUAGCACACUGUAUGGCGUAUGCCCGUCUUUAUUAACCCAGCAUAGGACUUUUACGGCCGACCUCCUGGAUCCAUUCACUCGAUCUGAUAUGUACAGUUGUUGUGUGGUGCAGUAGCAGAUAUUGGACAGGUCAGUCGAUUUGCACUGGCCAAGACAGUUAACAUGGAUUUUCCACAGGGUUCCCCCUAGUCACUGGUGCAGAAUGGGACACUUGUCAGUCUGAUUCCAAAUCAGAGUAGGCCGCUGUCCGGACAUAAUUUCCUACAUAGCACACCGUAUGACAUAUGCCCAUUUUAAUUAGCCCAGUCGGAACAGAACAGUAGGACAUUAAUCUUGAUUUCAUUUCAAACAUUUAGAAAUAUUUUUUUCUCUAUUUUAGAUAAAACAAACUGAACAAGUUGGAUCAGGAAAGACUAUCACAAUGCCUAGAAGAAAAAGGAGCAAAGGGAUUAAAAAUUUACAACAACAUUGGCGUAAAUGGCGUGAUAGCAUUGCAGAUAAGCCCCUUCCUGAUUCAACAAAUGAACCCCUUCCUGAUUCAACAAAUGAACCCCUUCCUGGAUCACAAGAUCAACCUCUUCCUGGAUCACAAGAUGGACGCUUUCCUGGAUCACGAGAUGAACCCCUUCCGGGAUCAAUAGAUGAACCCUUUCCUGGAUCAAUAGAUGAACACUUUCCUGGAUCACGAGAUGAACCCCUUCCGGGAUCACCGGAUCAACCCCAUCCUGCUUCAAGAGAUCAACUGGAAACUAAUAAUGUUAAAACAUUCCAUCAUUGUGUUUUUUGUGAUGAGAUUUUUAAAGAGUACAGUGAUCUAGAUCUUCACUAUGAACUACACGUGAACAAGAAGAUCCAUGUUGAAGGAGAAAAAAUUGACAGUAUCGUAAAACACCGCAAAAGACAUGUUAAAACGGGGCAAAUUGCUAAUGUUGUAAAACUCCGCAAAAGACAUGUUAAAACGGGGCAAAUUGCUAAUGUUGUAAAACACCGCAAAAGACAUGUUAAAAAGGGGCAAAUUGCUAAUGUUGUAAAACACAGCAAAAGACAUGUUAAAAAAGACGAUAUUGAUAAUGCGGUAAAACUCCACAAAAGACAUGUUCAAGAAGAAAAAAUUGAUUUGGAAAAACUUCACAAGAAACAUGUUAAAGAAGAGGAAAUUGAUAACUUGAAUUAUUUUCAGUGUAACUUGUGUGAAAGAAAAUUUGAUUUAUACCCUGAUUUAGAAGAACAUUGUAAAAUACAUAUGGAAUAUGAAGAAUCUCCUAUCAUAGGACAAAAUGUUAAAGAAGGCGAAUCUAUUGCAAGUACUUUAUAUCAAUGUACAUUAUGUCAAAUUUGCUUUGAGCAAUAUUUUGACCUGGAAGAACAUUGUAAACUUCAUGGAUAUCAAUGUACAGGCAGAGUUAGGUCUUCCAUUAGACACUGUAUUGCCCUGAGCCGGUAGAUUUAAUAAAAGAACAUCAGAGAAAUAUAAAAUGAUUGAACUCAGUCAUGGGUAUGGUGUGUUCAUAUAUCCAUCAGAUCUCGUCCACGUCAAGAAAUUAUUCGAGAAAACAAAGAGUGGACAAUCCGUGACUCGUCACCUUCUGAGCGUCAUGUUUACAAAAGAAAAGCUAUGUUUCGGUUCAGUAUCAAAAGAUCCUAAACCUGGUCUGGCGUCAUUGGAUGCAACCGUAGUUCAAGCCAUAAGAGAUUACUGUGUAGCAAUGUCAAAGGACAAGAACGUGGCCAUUAAUCAAGCUCUUCACAACAAAUUAACCACGUACAGAUAUAAGGCGAGGUGUAGGGCAACAAGUCCUGAAUACUGAUCAUUGACAGUGCUUAUCUAGAUGAAAUUAUUGAUGACGAAACCCCCGUGCUUAUUGAAGGAGUCAAGUCGCUAACUAACUCAAUAUCAUCCAGUCUUCGACAAUGCAAACAGAAACGAUUGAUGUUUCAGUCAAAAUGAAAAUAUUAACAUUGGCACUUGAAUCGCGUGUAGAAUGCUUCGGGUACCAUUUGCAUUAAGGGACUCGAUGAAGGAGACUAAAUAUAUCCCACGUAGAAGAAUAUUACCUUUUAAAUUCAGACCCUUCGCGUAUUUCGCCAAACAUAACUGAUUAUAAAUUACAGUAUGAUAGAAACGAUUGAAUGUAAAUCAGGUUAUAUAUAUUCAUAAUACAUUAUUAUGUGUUGCGACCUAUUUGUGUCCAUUACUGGGUGCCACAGAAUAGAGAUUUAGCUCUUUCUGGGUUGAUUGCUUAUUAUAUUCAAAUACUAGAUUGGUGGGGAAAACCCGUUCUUAUUUAAUCAAGAUGCUGAGUUGGUGGAGAGAUUUAAGGCCAAGAGUAGCGGAAAGAUAUCAGUAGAAUAUACCACAAGUUCCAAAUACCGAUUAUUGAUAGUGCUUUUAUUGCUGGGUUUGUGGGGGAAACACCGGAUUGUUUAGUUAAAGUGCUGGAUGGUGGGGGAUACCCCGUGAUUAUUUAAUAAAUAUACUGGGUUGGCGGGGAACCCCGGGCUUGUUUAGUUAAAAUAUUGGGUUGGUGGGGAAAUCCCGGGCCUGUUUAGUUAAAAUACUGGGUUGUUGAGGAAAAUAAAUUUAUCUUUAAAUUGAAUCCGACCUCUGUUUUAUUGUCUCUGAAACAUUUCCACCGCGGCGCCCUAACCUAACCAGGCGGUGUGGCGUGUUUCAUUGACUUGAAGACCAUGAUAAAAGUGACCGUAAAUAUAAAAGUAAAUAUAAAAGUAAACAUAAUCAAUCGCUGUUUUAAUGAAAUGCAAAUAUGCUUGUUUUUGUUCAGUUAAUAUCGAUGUGAUUCAUGAUGUCAUAAAUCAACCUCUUCUAUGUACCAGUUUGCAUACAUGAAAUAAAAGGGAGUAAAAUGAGA